GAUCUUUAUUGUAAGUAUUUAUAGGUUAAAGUUAAACAUGUUAGAAUACCAUUGAAUAAUGAGUAUAUGCAUUAACUAACAUUUGACUUGAAAACAAAGAAGAAACUAACUAUGAUCUACAGAACCAUGUCGGAGAGAUAGAGAAAAUGACAUAUAUAACCUCCAUUCACUCUUUCUCUUUUUUGUUUAUCUUUCUCUCACCACCAUUAUUAAACCUCAAACUUGAUCUUUCCACCAUGGCACCAUCAUCAUCAACACCACCCUCAACUCCACCGCCACUACAAUCCUUGUUUCCUCUGACAUUGCAAUAGAGCUCUAAAGAAAAAUUCACUAAUCUUUUUAGUCAUUUAGAAUUUUCAAUUUUCUUCCACCUCCAUUGAUUUCAAGAGCCACAUGUCUCUUUCUACUCUUGCAUAUCUCUUUCACUUCCAUAUUCUUUUAUUUCUCUCUGAUUUUGAUAUUCUUCGUAACCCAUCUUCAU